UACGUAGGGUGCAAGCGUUAAUCGGAAUUACUGGGCGUAAAGCGUGCGCAGGCGGUUCUAUAAGUAAGAUGUGAAAUCCCCGGGCUCAACCUGGGAACUGCAUUUGUGACUGUAGAGCUGGAGUGCGGCAGAGGGGGAUGGAAUUCCGCGUGUAGCAGUGAAAUGCGUAGAUAUGCGGAGGAACACCGAUGGCGAAGGCAAUCCCCUGGGCCUGCACUGACGCUCAUGCACGAAAGCGUGGGGAGCAAACAGG
rnacentral:rRNA from 1 species